rnacentral:rRNA from 1 species
UCUCAGUUCGGAUCGCAGUCUGCAACUCGACUGCGUGAAGGUGGAGUCGCUAGUAAUCGCGGAUCAGCAACGCCGCGGUGAAUGCCGUUCCCGGGCCUUGUACACACCGCCCGUCAAGUCAUGAAAGUGGGCAGCACCCGAAGACGGUGGCCUAACCCUUGUGGGGGGAGCCGUCUAAGGUGAGGCUCGUGAUUGGGACUAAGUCGUAACAAGGUAUC